GCCUGGGUGGCUCAGUCAGUUAAGCGUCUGACUUCGGCUCAGGUCAUGAUCUCAUGGUCCGUGGGUUCGAGCCCCACGUUGGGCU
rnacentral:tRNA from 1 species